GCUUGGUGAGGUGCUGGAACUUGAUGUACAUGUAUCAUUAAGUUAAUACAGUUCUGUUAGGAUUGACUGCCUUUUUACAGAGACUUUCUAUUCUUACUGUUAUCAGUUAGUAUAGACGGUUCCUGGCUUAGAAUGAUUCUCUGCUCAGCAAAUGGUGCGUAAUUAGCAUUUGAAUCAAAUUUCUUGUAGAAGUAAAAAACACAAAUUAAUGUAUUUGACAACUUUAUUCAGGAGCACAGUCUAUAUUAUCCGGCGUAAAUAACUUCGAGAUUUAUGUGGAAGUUUACUCUGCUGCUCGAUCUAUGCUAAUCGAUGUUCCAGUAUAUUUCAUAUUUAUAUUUAUUCGUGAGGCCUCGUCAAUCGUUUAUAUUCACUAAAAGCACAGUCGCCUAAAUAUUUUAUAUGGCGAAAAAAUUGCGAAAAUUGGGGGAAAUAAUAUAUUUUUAGUAGCAUUAUUAUUUUAAAAUCUUAAGAGGUUGCUUGCAAAUUUAACUCUAAAAUGAGAAGUGUAUGACGAUCUAUAACGAAUAUAUACAUCCAUCAUGUGUGCAGAUACGACGGCGACUAUAUAGGGUCUGCCAUGAGUGCACUUUGUAUGUCCUGCAUGUGUGCACCCAGGAGGUCCUCCUGAGCGGUGUUUAGACGUACCGGGAAAAUCUUAUCUGAUUCAGGAUCAAUUCAUCGGUUACACUCCCCUGUCACCAGUGAUUCUUUUUUGCUGACAUUCUGAAAAAGUAUUGUGUAGUCCCUGUGUAAGUGUUGACUCUCAACUUGCACAUGUGAUUUUUUAACACUCCCCGGACUUCUGCAAAAAACAAUUAUUCAGUUCACUGAUUUAGAUGGAAGGUAAACGAACAGAAAGUCACAGGACAUUCCGACAAAAAGUCACAGGACAAAAAGUCAAACACAUGUCAAACUCAGGCAUAAAGUAACAAAGUUGAUAGGACAAAAAGUCACAAACAAUUUGUUGACAAUUGAUUGAAUAUAAAUGAAAAAAGAUUUUGAAAUAUCUUCUUUUUAUUACAUAUAUUCAUUUUUAAUUUUAGGAAAUUGUUCAUAAUAUAAAAAAGAAGAUGUGGUAUGAUUGCCAAUGAGACAACUGUCCACAAGAGACCAAAAUGACACAGACAUUAACAACCAUAGGUCACCAAACAGCCUUCAACAAUGAGCAAAGCCCGAGGUAAAGCCCAUACCGCAUAGUCAGCUGUAAAAGGCAAUCAUACUAUAUCUUUUUUUUUAUAUUUACAUGUUAAAAAAUGCGUGCAAAUGUAAUCAAAAGCUGCACACAAACGUAAUGAUUUUUGUGUGCAAAUGUAAUGGUAAUGUGCGCAAACCUAAUGCACUGAUUUAUUUGUUUUUAAUAAAUUUUAAUUUAAAAGUUGCUACAUCAUGUUCAUGUAUAAAACUUCAAGAAAAAUACAAAAAGAGUGUUUUCUUGUUCAAAGAAAAAUAAUCUCAAAACUAAAUUGUGACUUUUUGUCCUGUGACAGUGUGUGACUUUUUGUCCUGUGACAGUGUGUGACUUUUUGACUGUGACUUUCUGUCCUGCAUUCAGAUUGAAUAGGGGAGUUUGGUUGACCCCGCCUCCCUCUAUCUGAGACUACUAUCUCAGUGAUGAGCUUUGUGUUUCAUGUACAAAUGUAUUGUGCUUUAAUUUAUGUACAAAAAAAAUAUUAUAACCGACAAGAAAAAACAGAUAUUGUUACACAUAAACAAACGACAAUCACUGAAUUAUCGGAUCCUGACAUUGGAACAGGCACAACCAUAACAACAUUGGCAGGGUAUAAGGAACUUUGAAAAUAUUUAGUUUUUGUGGUUUGGUCUAUUUUCCGGAUACUGUAAGCAAUAAGGCCCCUUUAUUUAGUGAAUGAAAUAAUUGUAAGAUGCACUUAGCUGUCUGUCAUAUUUUAUAUGAACUUGACCUCAUUUUCAUGCAUGGUUCAUUGGUCAAUGAAACACUGCAUUGUUUUGUCAGUUUAUCAUAUGUUUAAAGUUACAGGUAGAUUAUAUUUGGUAGAUAUGAAACAAUUGUAAGGUGUGCAUGUCUGAAUGGCAGAUUCAUAUAUAAACCAUGACCGCAUUUUAUUGUUCUUUGGUCAAUGAUAAGUUUUCUUGGUUUUGUCAUUUUAUCAGGCCACAUUUAAAAGAAUGUCUGUUUCCCCUCCCCGGGUCUACCCUUUGUAAACAGACCAGGAAGGCAGGUUUUUUUUAGCUCACCUGACCUGAAAGGUCAAGUGAGCUUUUCUCAUCACUUGGCGUUCGUCGUCUGUCGUCCUGCGUCCGUCGUCCGUAAACUUUUACAAAAAUCUUCUCCUCUGAAACUACUUGGCCAAAUUCUACCAAACUUGGCCACAAUCAUCCUUGGGGUAUCUAGUUUAAAAAAUGUGUGGCGUGACCUGUCAAACCAACCAAGAUGGCCGCCAUGGCUAAAAAUAGAACAUAGGGGUAAAAUGCAGUUUUUGGCUUAUAACUCAAAAACCAAAGCAUUUAGAGCAAAUCUGACAUGGGGUAAAAUUGUUGAUCAGGUCAAGAUCUAUCUGCCCUGAAAUUUUCAGACGAAUCGGACAACCUGUUGAUGGGUUGCUGCCUGUGAAAUGGUUAUUUUAAGGAAAUUUUGCAGUUUUUGGUUAUUAUCUUGAAUACUAUUAUAGAUAGAGAUAAACUGUAAAAGCAAUAAUGUUCAGCAAAGUAAGACCUACAAAUAAGUCAACAUGACCAAAAUUGUCAGUCGACCCUUAAGGAGUUAUUGCCCUUUAUAGUCAAUUUUUAACAACUUUUCAUCAUUUUUUGUAACUUUUUUAAAAAUCUUCUUCUCUGAAACUACUUUGCCAAAUUUAACCAAACUUGGCCACAAUUAUCAUUGUGGUUUGUAGUUUAAAAAAUGUGUCCGCUGACCCAGCCUACCAAACAAAAUGGCCGACAUGGCUAAAAUUAGAACAUAGUGGUAAAAUGCAGGUUUUGCUUUAUAUCUUUGAAACUAAGACAUUUAGGGCAAAUCUUUCAAGAUUUAAAUGUCCAUCAGAAUAAGAUAUAUCCCCUCACAAAUUUUCAGUUGAAUUGGACAACCUGUUGUUGGGUUGCUGCCCUAAAAUUGGUGAUUUUAAGGUAAUUUUGCAGUUUUUGGUUAUUAUCUUGAAUACUAUUAUAGAUAGAGAUAAACUGUAGACAGCAAUAAUGUUCAGCAAAGUAAGAUCUACAAAUAAGUCAGCAUGAUCAAAAUUGUUAGAGGACCCCUUAAGGAGUUAUUGCCCUUUAUAGUCAAUAUUGAACAACUUUUCGUCAUUUUUGUAACUUGUAUAAAAAUCAUUUCUAAAACUACUUGGCCAAAUUUAACCAAACUUGGCCACAAUCAUAAUACUAGGGUAUCUAUUUAAAAAAAAAAGUGUCUAAUGACCCCGCCUACCAACGAAGAUGGCCGACAUCAGUAAACACAUUAACAGGUGAGCGACACAGGCUCUUGAGAGCCUCUAGUUUUUUUUAACUGGAUGUGAUUGUCAUAGCAUGGUCACAUGAAUGGUUUGACUUGUCCAGUCCAGGCCACUUAUCAGUUGUUUGUGCUCAAUUUGAGUGUAUUUAUUUAGAUUAUCAAUCCUUCUGCUUUCAAGCACUUUCCAAAAAUGGAAACAAAUUAUUUUCAGGAAAAAAAUAAUUUCGAUUUUUUUGUGGAAAAUAAUUUUUUUGACCCGGGCGCUUAUUUUUGACCCGUGUGGGGGGAGGGGAAACAAACAUAUUUUUAAUUUUGGCCUUAGAUUUUUUAAGCAUAGGUCUACUUGUUGUAUGGAAUGACUACAAGGUAUCAAUAAAAAAAAGAUGUCUGCCUGCCAAGGUUAAUUUUACUGUGACCUCAUAUUCAUAGAAUAAUGAUAAUAUUCAUGAUAUUGAACAGCAAGAAUGAUGAGUAAGUUGAUGUUAUAUACAAAUAAGACAAAAUUUUCAGUUGCCUACUAAUUAUGUAAUACAUGUAGUAGUUAUUUUUGUCAUUAAAUGAUGUUUACCCUUUUAUGUGUAGGGCAAGAACAUGAAAGAUAAAGGGGAAACUAUAAACAGAAGAAAUUAUCAACAAAAUAAGAUUUACAGAGGUCAACAAAGCCUAAAUGGUAAGUCCACUGUUAUAAAAAAUUUUGUCCUUGAAUAAUAAUUAAAUAUUUAUUAAAAUAAGAUGUGGUAUGAUUAAAGAGAAAACUAUCCAUCAGAGUUCAAUUUAGUGGAUGUAAGCAUUGUAAUUACUUAUUAGAGGCCAUUGAUGACCUGUAAGUAAUGAGAAAACCCAUACCCUAUACAUGUUAUAGUAAUCUAUAAAAGUCAACACUAACCAAAUUUGAAACAGAGCAUCAAUUCAAACGUCAAAUAUACCAGACUAAUUUAUAAAAACAAAAAAUUAUGAAAAAUAAAAAUGACGGGUAUGAACCAACAUCAACCACUGAACUAUGUACAAGCUCCUGAUAUUAGACAGGUAUAAUAUGGCUGGGUUGAUAUAAAAAUAAGAAACACUUAGCAGUCUGAUUUCCAAUGAGACAUUUCUCCAAUAGAGAUCAAAUGACAUUUAAGGAGGCUCUAGGGUAUAACAAUUUCAGAAAAAUGUUUUAAUAUUUUUUUUUCAUAACUCAAUUUAUUUAUAUCUUUAUCAUAUGGUACACCAAAUCAUUCAAAACAAUCAAUUCGGUUUGGCCCCAGAUGACUUUUAAAAUGCAUAUAUCAUUGAAAAAGCUCCAAAUUAUCUCCCUUUGGUGCAAAAAUGCCAUUUUUUGGCAUUAAAAAUGUAAUAUCUUAUUUAACUCAACGGUGGCCUAUAUUUUUUAUUAUAAUUUUAAAUAAGCUGUACUUUAACUAAACUAUUAUAAAAUUUAAGCGAUUUCUGUAAUUUAGUACUUGAAUAUUUAAAUGAAAGUUUAUCAUAUUAAUCAUAAACAUGAUAAAAUAGCCAUUUUAUUGAUCUCUUCACUGAUAAUUUUUGAGUUUGUGUAUUUGUAGGUCAGAAAUCUGGAUUUUCAUGGUCAUCAUUCACAGAUCAAUACUGAACGGAAAACUUAAAGCUGAUAUUUUUCUCCAUAGUGCGACUUUUUUAUUAAUUUGAAAUGGAAC
rnacentral:lncRNA from 1 species